GAGCGGCGGACGGGUGAGUAAUGCAUAGGAAUCUGCCCGAUAGUGGGGGAUAACCUGGGGAAACCCAGGCUAAUACCGCAUACGUCCUACGGGAGAAAGGGGGCUCCGGCUCCCGCUAUGGGAUGAGCCUAUGUCGGAUUAGCUAGUUGGUGAGGUAACGGCUCACCAAGGCCACGAUCCGUAGCUGGUCUGAGAGGAUGAUCAGCCACAUCGGGACUGAGACACGGCCCGAACUCCUACGGGAGGCAGCAGUGGGGAAUAUUGGACAAUGGGGGAAACCCUGAUCCAGCCAUGCCGCGUGUGUGAAGAAGGCCCUCGGGUUGUAAAGCACUUUCAGCGAGGAAGAACGCCUAGCGGUUAAUACCCGCUAGGAAAGACAUCACUCGCAGAAGAAGCACCGGCUAACUCCGUGCCAGCAGCCGCGGUAAUACGGAGGGUGCAAGC
rnacentral:rRNA from 1 species